rnacentral:misc_RNA from 1 species
UGUACUUGUUUAAACUCGUGUCAGUUCUUAAUAAGCAGGCCUUAAAGAUGUGUUUCAUAUUGCUGAUAUAUGACUUCUGAUGAUUAAAGAACUAUUUUAAAUAUGUUAAUUAAAAGUAACAGAAAAAUUAUUUCUUAAGAUUGGUUUUGACAUUUUAGAAAGAUUCUUUUCUUUAUUUAUUAUUAUUAUUUUAAAAUAAGCAGUUUCAAUAAAUACUUUGAGGUUUCAUAUCCCCGUGUUCUCAAAGGAGAAGAAAUUUCCUGGACUUGUUUUCAGCAUAUGGGGAAUGGUUCUGACAGAAUCUAUUAUCAAUUUUUAACAUUUUGUUAGCUCAGUAAACAUGUGGGAUUUGAAUUUAUUAUUGAUGCAGAAUCAAACAAGCUAAAUUCAGUUUUGUAUAAGAUAAAAUUAUGAAUAUGGUUUAGCAAACAUGCAAUACAGGGUUCCAAGUGCUGAUCCAGGCAGUAGAACAGCUGAUUCAAAAUAAACCUUCUGAAAAGAUGACUUCAGAGCAAUUGGUCUGGUUGUACGCAAUCAUGCUGACGGCUACUGGAGUUAAACUUGUCUUAUGGUUUUACUGUAGAAGUUCAGGGAAUGAGAUUGUUCGUGCAUAUGCAAAGGUUUGAUGCUAAAUGCAAUCUUUAACCUCAUAAUCAUUUGGUUCUAAUGCUUGUGCUAUUGUGAUUUGUUGUUCACCAGGAUCAUUAUUUUGAUGUGGUCACCAAUGUAAUUGGAUUGGUAGCUGCUGUUCUUGGAGAUAAAUUUUAUUGGUGGAUUGAUCCAGCUGGUGCUCUCCUCCUGGCAAUAUAUACAAUUUCAAAUUGGUCUGGAACCGUACUGGAAAAUGCAGUUUCCCUGAUUGGACAGUCAGCACCUCCUGAGGUCCUGCAAAAACUUACAUAUCUAGUCCUUAUGCACCAUCCUCGAAUCAAACGAGUUGACACAGUUCGUGCUUAUACCUUCGGAGUUCUUUACUUUGUUGAGGUUGAUAUUGAGCUGCCAGAGGAUUUGCCACUCAAGGAAGCCCAUGCUAUUGGAGAGUCAUUGCAGAUAAAGAUCGAAGAACUUCCCGAAGUCGAAAGGGCAUUCGUUCAUCUAGAUUAUGAGUGCAACCACAAACCAGAGCAUUCUGUUCUUAACAGGCUCCCCAAUAACCUUGAUUGAUUUUGAAGUUUCCCACAUUCUAUAUCUUCCUCUAAUGUGUCAAACACAGUCCUUUUUUCAGAAGAAAUAAUCCCUUUUCUUGUUUUGGUAUCAGAGGAUGUGAGUUGGAAUGAAAAAACAAAACAAUAUAGUCCUAAUUAAGAGACAUCAACAGUCAAAUCCAGAAAAGUUUUUAUGUCUGUAAGGACUUUAUUUGGGUCGUUCUGUUGGUUUUGUUUGUAGUCUGAUUGCUUCUUCUGCGUCCUAAGACUUCAAUCUCUUCAAGUUUAGAAUUGUAAAUUACUCCAUUUUGAGCAGAACAGAGGCACAACAAUCAACAUUCCUCUAGAGAUCUCGAAUGAAGAUGAAAAUGAAAUGGAGGAUGAGACGCAUUAUGUUUAAUUGAACUGUUGCAGAUGUUAUUGGCUACUGUUAUUCAAUGAAAGAACUUGGCCAAUUAGUUUCAACUUCAUGGUAUAAGGCUGUGAGAUCUCAAAUUAGAUCUUGGCCGAAGCUCAAUUUGAAAAAAAUGAAUAAGUUAUUUAUGGAACUUAG